AACCCUGAAUUCAUAGUGAGAGCGAUUAAGCCGCGAUUUCAGCGACUGAUCAGCUGGAUCGAUCGCAGCGAUUUACAUUCAUUAAGCGAUUAUAUUAAUUCACAAAAUGAGAGCCGCCAUAUUAUUUCUCUUAUACAAAAUAAUAUUGAAGAGGAGGAGAUUAUACAAUCUUAAUAUUAAUAAAAGAAAAGAGGGCGAAUUUUACAUUCUCUUUCCUAAACUCUUAAAAAAUAAGGUUAAAUUUUUCAAUUAUAUGAGGAUGACCAAAGAAACCUUUUAUUACAUACUUGAGCAUGUAAAACCAAUAUUGCUUACAACAUCCACAAAUUUUAUAAAAUAUCCAAUAAGUGUUGAAGAAAAGCUAAUGGUUUGUUUAAGAUAUUUAGCUACAGGCUGUAGAUAUCCUACCUUAGCUUAUUCCUAUCUACAAUCCAAAAAAUUGUUAGGACCACUUGCAAAGCUAUAUGGCAAACUUUGGUGACCCAACAUAUGAUUACAGCUAACAGAAAAUAUAAUACAAACAUGUACUUUACUCCAUAACAUUAUAAUUGAUAAGGAAAAAUAUAUUCCUAUCAACCUUAAAAAAAAUUAUCCCCUUUAAUUCACUUAUUUAAUCAGCAACAAAUUUGCAAAGUUUAAUAGAAAUUUAUUAUGUUUAUAUUUAUAUAAAAAUCCCAUAUUAUAGAUAUUUAUAAAUUUAAUCAAAUCUUAUUUUGUAUUUUAUAUAAAUAUCUUGUUUUGUAUUUUAUAUAUAUUAUAAUAAAAAUAAAUGUUUAAUUAUU